UACGGAGGAUCCGAGCGUUAUCCGGAUUUAUUGGGUUUAAAGGGUGCGCAGGCGGGGGAUUAAGUCGGCGGUGAAAUUUUGCAGCUCAACUGUAAAAGUGCCUUCGAAACUGGUUUCCUUGAGUGUAGAUGAAGUAGGCGGAAUUUGUGGUGUAGCGGUGAAAUGCAUAGAUAUCACGAGGAACUCCGAUUGCGCAGGCAGCUUACUAAACUACUACUGACGCUCAGGCACGAAGGCGUGGGGAUCAAACAGGAUUAGAUACCCCGGUAGUCCCU
rnacentral:rRNA from 1 species